rnacentral:rRNA from 1 species
CGUAGGGGGGCAAGCGUUAUCCGGAUUUUACUGGGGUGUAAAGGGGAGCGUAGGUGGCAUGGUAAGUCAGAUGUGAAAGCCCAGGGGCUCAACCCUGGGACUGCAUUUUGAAACUAUCAGGCUAGAGUGCAGGAGAGGUAAGUGGAAUUCCUAGUGUAGCGGUGAAAUGCGUAGAUAUUAGGAAGAACACCAGUGGCGAAGGCGGCUUACUGGACUGUAACUGACACUGAGGCUCGAAAGCGUGGGGAGCAAACAGGAUU